UGCUUAUCUAGAGUGGUGGAGGGAAAGGCCCUGCGAAGCCACAGCAACCGGCCAAUAAGGCGACAGGUGCUAAAUCCUGCCGAAAGGCAAAGAUGAGAG
rnacentral:ncRNA from 2 species